rnacentral:piRNA from 2 species
UGCUGAGUUGUUGAAAGAACUGGAGC